UCUUGAUGCAGGUUGAAUCAGAGCUAGCUGAACUGGCUCUAGAUGAAAGGAUGGAAUAUUUAAAAUCACUUGGUGUUAAUGAAAGUGGCCUUGGAAAUCUUAUUAGGACAACAUAUGCCCUACUGGGUUUGAGAACAUACUUCACUCCUGGCGAGAAGGCAUGACUGCACCUCAAGCUGCUGGAGUUAUACAGUCUGAAAGGUUGCUUAUGAUGAUUUUGUUGCUGCUGGAUCAUUUGCAGCUGCAAGAGAGAAAGGACUUGUCUACACUUGAUCAAAGUCAUUGAAGAAGAAGGCUAUGGAUGGUGCAUUGAUCAAAGCCAUUGAAGUAG